rnacentral:rRNA from 1 species
UACGUAGGGGGCAAGCGUUGUCCGGAAUCAUUGGGCGUAAAGAGCGCGUAGGCGGCCCUGUAAGUCCGCUGUGGAAGUCAAGGGCUCAACCCUUGGAUGCCGGUGGAUACUGCAGGGCUAGAGUCCGGAAGAGGCGAGUGGAAUUCCUGGUGUAGCGGUGAAAUGCGCAGAUAUCAGGAGGAACACCGAUGGCGAAGGCGGGUCUCUGGGCCGAUACUGACGCUGAGGAGCGAAAGCGUGGGGAGCGAACAGG